rnacentral:sRNA from 1 species
AUUGAAUUUCGUUCGGUUAACAAUUGGUUUUGAGAAAGAAAAAAAAAACUAAAAGAAUCACGCGAUGGAGAAUUUGGAGAGAUAUGCGUCGAUAAAAAUUGGCAUGAAUUGGAAAGGGGUUUACCCACAGAAUCGCCCUCACUCGCUCAACGCGCUCUUUCUGCGAGUGGGUACGAAAUAGAGCCUUCUGAUUGGCUUAAAAACUAAAAAAAAAGUGCAAUAGUAUAGUUGUUGCUAGCUAUGUUAUUAUUUGCUUUUCGUCUUCUUCUCUAAUUUUACGCAAAAACUAGAUUCACGCUUUUAGAUUUGGACUGGUGAG